CGUGCAAAUCCGGUCGCCCUGAAACCCAACAGCUCGCCUCCAAGAUCUAAAUUCAAUAAUCCAUAUUUAUAACCCCGAAUAUUCUGAUUUAAUUAAAUAAAUCAUUCUUCCUCCUUAGUAAGUGUGACAGAACAGGAAAUAUGUGAGCGCCAUAGAAAAAGUACCGUAAGGGAACGCUGAAAGAGAAGUGAAAUAACCCAGUCAAGUACAGAAAAGCAGAGACUAAUUCUCGUACCUUUUGCAUCAUGAUUUAGCAAGUUUAUUCAAGCAAAAAGCAUUUUAGUUUGUUAUCCCGAAACUAGACGAGCUACUCCAGGACAGCCUAUUUAUAGGGCACACCCGUCUCUGUGGCAAAAGAGUGGGAGGAUCUUUGAGUAGAGGUGACAAACCUACCGAGCCUAGUUAUAGCUGGUUGCCUGGGAAUUAAAUAGAAGUUUAGCCUCUUGUCUUCUUAUGCCAAAUAUGGACACCCAAACCUCAGGUUUUGAGAAUACAUUGAGAGUUAGUCGGAAGGGGGACAGCCCUUCUGAAUAAAGAAACAACUUUUUUAACUGGAUAUUAAUCAUAAAUAUAUAAAGUUUAUGUCUAGGUGGGCCUAAAAGCAGCCACCCUAAAAGAUAGCGUUAAAGCUCAAACAUUAUUUAAACUAAUUAUUCCGAUAAAUUAUUAUAAUCCGCUUAAAAUACCAGGCCCUCCUAUCCUGCGAUAGGAAAGAUUAUGCUAAUAUGAGUAAUAAGAGAAUCCAUUUCUCUCCCUGCAUAACUGUAAAUCGGAACGGACAAACCACCGAAAAUUAACGGCCCCAACCCAAGAGGGUAAUAGAUUUAAAAUAAAAAACAAGAAGUGCCUCUAUUUAAUUACCGUUAAACCUACACUGGAAUGCAAACCCGGAAAGACUAAAAGGGGAAGAAGGAACUCGGCAAAUAAUUAAAGCCUCGCCUGUUUACCAAAAACAUCGCCUCUUGAAUUUUAUAUAUAAGAGGUCCUGCCUGCCCUGUGAUAUUAUUUAACGGCCGCGGUAUCUUGACCGUGCAAAGGUAGCGCAAUCACUUGUCUUUUAAAUGAAGACCUGUAUGAAUGGCUAAACGAGGGCUUAACUGUCUCCUUCCCUAAGUCAAUGAAAUUGAUUUCCCCGUGCAGAAGCGGGGAUAAAUACAUAAGACGAGAAGACCCUAUGGAGCUUUAGACGCAAGGGCAAAUCAUGUUAAUAAUACUAAAUUAAAUAGUUAAAACAAAUUGAAUCCUGCCACAAUGUCUUUGGUUGGGGUGACCACGGGGAAACAUCAAACCCCCGCGCGGAAUAAAAGUAAUAUCUUUUAAAACCGAGAGCUACCACUCUAAGUAACAGAAUAUCUGACCUUAAUGACCCGGCAAAGCCGAUCAACGAACCGAGUUACCCUAGGGAUAACAGCGCAAUCCCCUUUUAGAGUCCCUAUCGACAAGGGGGUUUACGACCUCGAUGUUGGAUCAGGACAUCCUAAUGGUGCAGCCGCUAUUUAGGGUUCGUUUGUUCAACGAUUAAAGUCCUACGUGAUCUGAGUUCAGACCGGAGUAAUCCAGGUCAGUUUCUAUCUAUGAAAUGUUUUCUUCCAGUACGAAAGGACCGAAGAAAAGGGGCCAAUUCUUCAAGUACGCCUCACCCUUAUCUAAUGAAACCAACUAAAAUAGAUAAAAGGGUAUAUUUCUACAGCUAAAGAUAAUAGCGUGUUAGAGUGGCAGAGCCCGGAAAUUGCAAAAGGUCUAAGCCCUUUCCACAGAGGUUCAAGUCCUCUCCCUAACUAUGUUCUUUACUCUUAUUAAUUCCGUUAUUAAUCCUCUUAUCCUAAUUAUCUGUGUUAUAUUAGCAGUUGCGCUCCUCACACUAGUCGAGCGUAAAGUAUUAGGUUAUAUACAAUUACGAAAGGGCCCUAAUGUAGUUGGACCUUAUGGUAUUUUACAACCCUUUGCUGAUGGUUUAAAAUUGUUAACUAAAGAACCUAUCUCUCCCUCUACUUCCUCACCUUUCCUUUUCAUUUUCACCCCUAUUAUAGCCUUCGCAUUAGCCUUAACCCUUUGAACUCCUAUUCCCCUGCCGUUUCCUAUUGCUGAUUUAAAUCUAGGCAUCUUAUUUAUUCUGGCAUUAUCAAGCCUAGCAGUUUAUUCUAUUCUAGGCUCAGGAUGAGCAUCCAAUUCAAAGUAUGCUCUAAUUGGGGCCUUGCGAGCUGUAGCACAAACCAUUUCCUAUGAAGUAAGCUUAGGCCUAAUUCUUUUAUGUGCUAUUAUAUUUACAGGAGGGUUUACCAUUCAAACUUUCAGCACCGCUCAAGAAGCUACUUGAUUAAUUAUUCCAGCUUGACCACUUGCCGCAAUAUGAUAUGUUUCCACAUUAGCAGAGACAAACCGUGCCCCCUUUGAUUUAACAGAAGGCGAAUCUGAGCUCGUGUCAGGUUUUAAUGUAGAGUAUGCUGGCGGACCUUUUGCCCUGUUUUUUCUAGCAGAAUAUGCUAAUAUUCUUUUGAUAAAUACCCUCUCCACCACUCUUUUUCUUGGCUCCUGCUUAAAUCAUAAUUACCCCGAAAUUACAUCCACUACUUUAAUAAUUAAAGCCACUAUUCUCUCAGUAUUAUUCCUUUGAGUACGAGCAUCCUACCCCCGGUUUCGGUAUGACCAGCUUAUACACUUAAUUUGAAAAAAUUUUUUACCUAUCACUCUGGCUUUAGUAAUUUGACACCUAUCUCUUCCUAUUACCUUUUCGGGUCUUCCCCCUCAGCUUUAGCUUUAAAGGAGUCGUGCCUGAAUUAAAGGGCCACUUUGAUAGAGUGAAUAAUGAGGGUUAGAAUCCCUCCGACUCCUUAGAAAAAAGGGAUUUGAACCCUCCCCGAAGAGAUCAAAACUCUUGGUGCUUCCACUACACCAUUUUCUAGUAAAGUCAGCUAAAUAAGCUUUCGGGCCCAUACCCCGAACAUGUUGGUUAAAUCCCUUCCUUUGCUAAUGAAUCCUUACAUUUUAACCAUCCUCCUAUUUGCAAUAGGUUUAGGCACAACAAUCACCUUUGCAAGCUCCCAUUGACUUCUGGCUUGAAUAGGGUUAGAAAUUAAUACUCUCGCAAUUCUACCCCUUAUAUGCCAGUCUCAUCAUCCUCGGGCCGUUGAAGCCACAAUUAAAUAUUUUCUCACUCAAGCUACCGCUGCUGCCAUACUACUUUUUGCCAGCAUUACCAACGCUUGAAUUACGGGACAAUGAAAUUUAGAAUUCAUAAGCUACUCCCUCCCUACUACUCUGGUCACUGUGGCCUUAGCCCUAAAAAUUGGCUUAGCACCCCUCCACGCUUGGAUACCAGAGGUUCUUCAAGGCCUUGAUUUAACCACAGGUUUAAUCCUCUCAACAUGACAAAAAUUGGCACCUUUCUGCCUUCUUUUACAAAUCAAUCCUUCAAAUACCUCACUUCUCUUAAUUUUAGGCUUAGCCUCAACCCUUGUUGGGGGCUGAGGCGGGUUAAAUCAAAAUCAAUUACGGAAAAUCCUAGCCUAUUCAUCCAUCGCCCACUUGGGCUGAAUAAUUUUAGUAUUACAAUUCUUCCCAUCCCUAACCUUACUGACUCUUUUAAUAUACUUUGUAAUAACCUUUUCCCUAUUUAUUUCAUUUAAAGUUAAUAAUUCUACUACUAUUAAUUCCUUAUCAAUGUCAUGAUCAAAAGCCCCUAUCAUCUCUUCUAUAGUACCUUUUAUCUUGUUAUCCUUGGGCGGACUCCCACCUCUAUCAGGAUUUAUACCUAAAUGACUUAUUUUACAAGAGUUAACUAAACAAAGUUUAGCUCCCUUAGCAACCCUAGCUGCACUUUCAGCAUUACUAAGCUUAUAUUUUUAUCUUCGGAUUUCCUACGCGAUAACCCUAACUAUAUCACCUAAUAUCCUUUUAAACGCCCUCCCAUGACGGCUGCCCUCUAAUCAACAUACCCUCCCCCUAGCAAUUACUACCUCGUUAACAAUUUGCCUCCUCCCUCUUACCCCGGCUAUUAUUGCCCUUCUUACCCUCUAGAGGCUUAGGAUAGCACUCAGACCAAGAGCCUUCAAAGCCCUAAGCGGGAGUGAAAAUCUCCCAGCCUCUGCCUAAGACUUACGGGACAUUAACCCACAUCUUCUGCGUGCAAAGCAGACACUUUAAUUAAGCUAAAGCCUUUUCUAGACAGGCAGGCCUCGAUCCUACAAAAUCUUAGUUAACAGCUAAGCGCCCAAACCAGCGAGCAUCUAUCUAGCUUUCCUCCGCCUAGCCAAGCAUAAUAGGCGGAGGAAAGCCCCGGCAGGAUUCAACCUGCUUCUCUAGAUUUGCAAUCUAGCGUGAAACACCUCAGAGCUUUGAUAAGAAGAGGACUUAAACCUCUGUUUAUGGAGCUACAAUCCACCGCUUAAAUCUCAGCCACCUUACCUGUGAUAAUCACACGUUGAUUUUUCUCAACUAACCACAAAGAUAUCGGUACCCUUUAUUUAGUAUUUGGUGCCUGAGCCGGUAUAGUAGGUACAGCUCUUAGCCUUCUUAUUCGGGCGGAACUAAGCCAACCAGGCUCUCUCCUAGGGGAUGACCAAAUUUAUAAUGUAAUCGUUACAGCACAUGCAUUUGUAAUAAUCUUUUUUAUAGUUAUGCCUAUUAUAAUUGGUGGCUUUGGAAAUUGACUAGUCCCUCUUAUGAUCGGUGCCCCAGACAUAGCUUUUCCUCGAAUAAAUAAUAUAAGCUUCUGACUACUCCCACCCUCAUUUUUACUUCUCUUAGCCUCUUCCGGCGUUGAAGCCGGGGCUGGUACAGGUUGAACAGUCUAUCCUCCUCUAGCAGGUAAUUUAGCUCAUGCUGGGGCUUCUGUAGAUUUAACUAUUUUUUCCCUUCACUUAGCUGGAAUUUCAUCAAUUUUAGGUGCUAUUAAUUUUAUUACAACUAUUAUUAAUAUAAAACCUCCAGCUAUCUCCCAAUACCAAACCCCCCUGUUCGUCUGAGCUGUCUUAAUUACUGCUGUACUUCUUCUACUUUCCUUACCAGUUCUUGCUGCAGGAAUUACAAUACUGUUAACUGACCGAAAUUUAAAUACUACAUUUUUUGAUCCGGCAGGUGGAGGAGAUCCAAUUCUAUACCAACAUUUAUUCUGAUUCUUUGGUCACCCAGAAGUUUAUAUUCUUAUUUUACCAGGCUUUGGUAUAAUUUCACAUAUUGUAGCAUACUAUUCUGGUAAAAAAGAACCGUUUGGAUAUAUGGGUAUAGUAUGAGCAAUAAUAGCAAUUGGUCUUCUCGGCUUUAUUGUUUGAGCCCAUCACAUAUUUACAGUCGGAAUAGACGUAGACACUCGAGCUUACUUUACAUCUGCUACUAUAAUUAUUGCUAUUCCAACAGGAGUAAAAGUGUUUAGCUGAUUAGCUACUCUCCAUGGAGGAUCUAUUAAAUGAGAAACUCCUUUACUCUGAGCAUUAGGAUUCAUUUUCCUAUUUACAGUAGGGGGGCUUACAGGAAUUGUUUUAGCUAAUUCAUCCUUAGAUAUUGUGCUCCACGAUACUUAUUAUGUAGUUGCUCACUUCCAUUAUGUCUUAUCCAUGGGAGCCGUAUUUGCAAUUAUCGCUGCCUUUGUUCAUUGAUUCCCUCUGUUCUCAGGUUAUACCCUUCAUAGCACAUGAACUAAAAUUCAUUUUGGUAUUAUGUUUGUAGGCGUUAAUUUAACCUUUUUCCCACAACAUUUCCUUGGAUUGGCAGGUAUACCUCGACGAUAUUCUGAUUAUCCAGAUGCCUAUACCCUUUGAAAUACAGUGUCUUCUAUUGGGUCAUUAAUUUCCCUUGUAGCAGUAAUCAUGUUUUUAUUUAUUAUCUGAGAAGCAUUCGCUGCUAAACGUGAAGUACUAUCUGUUGAAAUAACAGCAACUAAUGUUGAAUGACUUCAUGGCUGCCCUCCUCCCUACCACACAUUUGAAGAGCCUGCCUUUGUUCAAAUUCAACAUUAGUUUAACCCUCGAGAAAGGAAGGAAUUGAACCCCCAUAAAUUGGUUUCAAGCCAACCGCAUAACCAUUCUGCCACUUUCUUUAUAA